UACGUAGGGGGCGAGCGUUGUCCGGAUUUACUGGGCGUAAAGCGCGCGUAGGCGGCUUUGCAAGUCGGGUGUGAAAUCCCCAGGCUUAACCUGGGAACUGCAUUCGAGACUGCAUUGCUAGAGUAUGGGAGAGGGAAGUGGAAUUUCCGGUGUAGCGGUGAAAUGCGUAGAUAUCAGUCGGAACACCGGUGGCGAAGGCGGCUUCUUGGGCCGAGAUUGACGCUGAGGCGCGAAAGCUGGGGGAGCGAACAGG
rnacentral:rRNA from 1 species